CCCACUUUGAGAAAAACGGUCCUCAUUAUGCAACAAAAGACAGGCAGGCACUCUGUUGUCCUGUUGUCAUAUUAGUGGAUUAGAAGCAUACAUGGGUAGGGUAGGGGACUUAGAUCCAUCAUCUCAACAGAGAUCAUUUACAUUUACAUUUAGUCAUUUAGCAGACGCUUUUGUCCAAAGCGACGUACAAUGGAGAGAACAGUCAAGCUAAGAGCAAUACAGAACAUGGUGUAACAAUAAAUACUACUUUACAUAAGAAUUAGAAAAACGACCUAGAAAGGAAAAAGAAGUGCAGGAAUGUAACUGCUGAAGUGCAAGUUAAGCGCUAGUCAAGGUGCCAGUUAGGAAGGGAGGUGCUCUCUGAAGAGUUGGGUCUUCAAAAGCUUCUUGAAGGUAGAGAGGGACGCCCCUGCUCUGGUAGUACUAGGCAGUUCGUUCCACCAACGUGGGACUACAAAUGAGAAUAGUUUGGAUUGCCGUGCUUGCACGGACGGCAGUGCCAAACGACGCUCACUAGACGAGCGCAGCGUCCUGGGUGUGACAUUUGCCCUUACAAGAGCAUUUAGGUAGGUGGGAGCAGAGAUCAGAGUUCAAUCCCUCUCAUGUGCCUUAACACUAAGACAGAUCUGCCACUGAAGAUCAAUCACAUCCAAUCGGAUUGUGGCACGAUGUCUUCUUGUCAGUUGGUUCUCAUAUAUCAUGCAUGUUUCCCCAAAACGUUGCCACUGAAUUGAAUUCAGACAUCCUCAUGAUUUGUGUUUAGAUCUUGAUUUGGUUUUUAAGCAUGGACAUUUUCUUGUACAUGAAUGCUAUUUACUGGAGCAUUUAUUUUGUUAAUAUGUUUACUAGGUUAAAAGGAUUAAUCGCAAUAUAAAACUAAUUAAUGAUUUUCAGUAGCAAAUUCGCACUACAGCAUUAUGUGGCAUGAAUUAUUUUAUGAAUUUCAAUCUAUGACAAAUGACAAAUGCAGUGCAGUAUAUUUCUAAAUUAAAUGUAUAGAACCACACAUAGUACAUAUAGUAAAUGUAUUAUAUAUUUACAACAAUCCCAUUCCAUUUCAUUAAAUAGAUCCUGAAGCACUUCACGAUUUGCAACAUCAUCAAUGAAAAGAAAAAAUCAAGAAAAAAGGGUCAACAAUGUUCAUGGUAAAACCAAAGCCUACAUUCUAUCACACAUAUAAACACGUAAGUUAAGUAUGUUCACCAUCUCUCUGUUCUCUCUCUGUCACACAUAUAAACACAUAAGUUAGGUAUGUUCACAUCUCUCUGUCACAUAUAUAAACACAUAAGAUAAGUAUGUUCACC
ensembl:lncRNA